GACGAACGCUGGCGGCGUGCUUAACACAUGCAAGUCGAACGGAAAGGCCCUGCUUUUGUGGGGUGCUCGAGUGGCGAACGGGUGAGUAACACGUGAGUAACCUGCCCUUGACUUUGGGAUAACUUCAGGAAACUGGGGCUAAUACCGGAUAGGAGCUCCUGCUGCAUGGUGGGGGUUGGAAAGUUUCGGCGGUUGGGGAUGGACUCGCGGCUUAUCAGCUUGUUGGUGGGGUAGUGGCUUACCAAGGCUUUGACGGGUAGCCGGCCUGAGAGGGUGACCGGCCACAAUGGGACUGAGGUACGGCCCAGACGCCUACGGGAGGCAGCAGUGGGGAAUAUUGCACAAUGGGCGGAAGCCUGAUGCAGCAACGCCGCGUGCGGGAUGACGGCCUUCGGGUUGUAAACCGCUUUCGCCUGUGACGAAGCGUGAGUGACGGUAAUGGGUAAAGAAGCACCGGCUAACUACGUG
rnacentral:rRNA from 1 species